rnacentral:rRNA from 1 species
GACGAACGCUGGCGGCGUGCUUAACACAUGCAAGUCGAACGGAAAGGCCCUGCUUUUGUGGGGUGCUCGAGUGGCGAACGGGUGAGUAACACGUGAGUAACCUGCCCUUGACUUUGGGAUAACUUCAGGAAACUGGGGCUAAUACCGGAUAGGAGCUCCUGCUGCAUGGUGGGGGUUGGAAAGUUUCGGCGGUUGGGGAUGGACUCGCGGCUUAUCAGCUUGUUGGUGGGGUAGUGGCUUACCAAGGCUUUGACGGGUAGCCGGCCUGAGAGGGUGACCGGCCACAUUGGGACUGAGAUACGGCCCAGACUCCUACGGGAGGCAGCAGUGGGGAAUAUUGCACAAUGGGCGGAAGCCUGAUGCAGCAACGCCGCGUGCGGGAUGACGGCCUUCGGAUUGUAAACCGCUUUCGCCUGUGACGAAGCGUGAGUGACGGUAAUGGGUAAAGAAGCACCGGCUAACUACGUGCCAGCAGCCGCGGUGAUACGUAGGGUGCGAGCGUUGUCCGGAUUUAUUGGGCGUAAAGGGCUCGUAGGUGGUUGAUCGCGUCGGAAGUGUAAUCUUGGGGCUUAACCCUGAGCGUGCUUUCGAUACGGGUUGACUUGAGGAAGGUAGGGGAGAAUGGAAUUCCUGGUGGAGCGGUGGAAUGCGCAGAUAUCAGGAGGAACACCAGUGGCGAAGGCGGUUCUCUGGGCCUUUCCUGACGCUGAGGAGCGAAAGCGUGGGGAGCGAACAGGCUUAGAUACCCUGGUAGUCCACGCUGUAAACGGUGGGUACUAGGUGUGGGGUCCAUUCCACGGGUUCCGUGCCGUAGCUAACGCUUUAAGUACCCCGCCUGGGGAGUACGGCCGCAAGGCUAAAACUCAAAGGAAUUGACGGGGCCCCGCACAAGCGGCGGAGCAUGCGGAUUAAUUCGAUGCAACGCGUAGAACCUUACCUGGGUUUGACAUGGAUCGGGAGUGCUCAGAGAUGGGUGUGCCUCUUUUGGGGUCGGUUCACAGGUGGUGCAUGGCUGUCGUCAGCUCGUGUCGUGAGAUGUUGGGUUAAGUCCCGCAACGAGCGCAACCCUUGUUCACUGUUGCCAGCACGUUAUGGUGGGGACUCAGUGGAGACCGCCGGGGUCAACUCGGAGGAAGGUGGGGAUGACGUCAAGUCAUCAUGCCCCUUAUGUCCAGGGCUUCACGCAUGCUACAAUGGCUGGUACAGAGAGUGGCGAGCCUGUGAGGGUGAGCGAAUCUCGGAAAGCCGGUCUCAGUUCGGAUUGGGGUCUGCAACUCGACCUCAUGAAGUCGGAGUCGCUAGUAAUCGCAGAUCAGCAACGCUGCGGUGAAUACGUUCCCGGGGCU